rnacentral:rRNA from 1 species
UACGGAGGGGGCUAGCGUUGUUCGGAAUUACUGGGCGUAAAGCGUACGUAGGCGGCCUUGUAAGUUAGAGGUGAAAGCCCGGGGCUCAACUCCGGAAUUGCCUUUAAGACUGCAUCGCUUGAAUCCGGGAGAGGUGAGUGGAAUUCCGAGUGUAGAGGUGAAAUUCGUAGAUAUUCGGAAGAACACCAGUGGCGAAGGCGGCUCACUGGACCGGUAUUGACGCUGAGGUGCGAAAGCGUGGGGAGCAAACAGG